rnacentral:rRNA from 1 species
CGAUGUAUAGGAGCUGACGCCUGCCCGGUGCUGGAAGGUUAAGGGGAUCUGUUAGAGCAAUCGAAGCAGUGAACUUAAGCCCCAGUAAACGGCGGCCGGAACUAUAACGGUCCUAAGGUAGCGAAAUUCCUUGUCGGGUAAGUUCCGACCCGCACGAAAGGCGUAACGAUUUGGGCACUGUCUCAACAACAGACUCGGUGAAAUUGUAAUUCCGGUGAAGAUGCCGGAUACCUGCGACAGGACGGAAAGACCCCAUGGAGCUUUACUGUAGCUUGACAUUGGG